GAUGAACGCUAGCUACAGGCUUAACACAUGCAAGUCGAGGGGAAACGACAUCGAAAGCUUGCUUUUGAUGGGCGUCGACCGGCGCACGGGUGAGUAACGCGUAUCCAACCUGCCCAUCACUUGGGAAUAACCUUGCGAAAGUAAGACUAAUACCCAAUGAUAUCCCACGAAGGCAUCGGAAUGGGAUUAAAGAUUUAUCGGUGAUGGAUGGGGAUGCGUCUGAUUAGCUUGUUGGCGGGGUAACGGCCCACCAAGGCAACGAUCAGUAGGGGUUCUGAGAGGAAGGUCCCCCACAUUGGAACUGAGACACGGUCCAAACGCCUACGGGAGGCAGCAGUGAGGAAUAUUGGUCAAUGGGCGAGAGCCUGAACCAGCCAAGUAGCGUGCAGGAAGACGGCCCUAUGGGUUGUAAACUGCUUUUAUAAGGGAAUAAAGUGGGUCACGUGUGACUUUUUGCAUGUACCUGAUGAAUAAGGACCGGCUAAUUCCGUG
rnacentral:rRNA from 1 species